AAUAUUGUUGGGUAGGGGAGCGUUCUGUAAGCCUGUGAAGGUGGCCUGUGAGGCUGCUGGAGGUAUCAGAAGUGCGAAUGCUGACAUAAGUAACGAUAAUGCGGGUGAAAAACCCGCACGCCGGAAGACCAAGGGUUCCUGUCCAACGUUAAUCGGGGCAGGGUGAGUCGACCCCUAAGGCGAGGCUGAAAAGCGUAGUCGAUGGGCAACGGGUUAAUAUUCCCGUACUGGUGGUAACUGCGAAGGGGGACGGAGAAAGCUAAAUCAUCCGGGCGACGGUUGUCCCGGUUUAAGCGUGCAGGUGGACUGACCAGGCAAAUCCGGUCGGUUGUUAACACUGAGGCGUGACGACGAGCCACUACGGUGGUGAAGUGAUUGAUGCUCUGCUUCCGGGAAAAGCCUCUAAGCUCCAGGUUAUCAUUAAUCGUACCCCAAACCGACACAGGUGGUCAGGUAGAGAAUACUCAGGCGCUUGAGAGAACUCGGGUGAAGGAACUAGGCAAAAUGGUGCCGUAACUUCGGGAGAAGGCACGCUGGCACUAGGUGAAGUGGUUUACCCAUGGAGCUGAAGCCAGCCGCAGAUACCAGCUGGCUGCAACUGUUUAUUAAAAACACAGCACUGUGCAAACACGAAAGUGGACGUAUACGGUGUGACGCCUGCCCGGUGCCGGAAGGUUAAUUGAUGAGGUCAGCCGCAAGGCGAAGCUUCUGAUCGAAGCCCCGGUAAACGGCGGCCGUAACUAUAACGGUCCUAAGGUAGCGAAAUUCCUUGUCGGGUAAGUUCCGACCUGCACGAAUGGCGUAAUGAUGGCCAGGCUGUCUCCACCCGAGACUCAGUGAAAUUGAACUCGCUGUGAAGAUGCAGUGUACCCGCGGCAAGACGGAAAGACCCCGUGAACCUUUACUAUAGCUUGACACUGAACAUUGAGCCUUGAUGUGUAGGAUAGGUGGGAGGCAAUGAAGUGUGGACGCCAGUCUGCACGGAGCCAUCCUUGAAAUACCACCCUUUAACGUUUGAUGUUCUAACCCGGGUCCAUAAUCUGGAUCGGGGACCGUGUCUGGUGGGUAGUUUGACUGGGGCGGUCUCCUCCCAAAGAGUAACGGAGGAGCACGAAGGUUGGCUAAGCAUGGUCGGACAUCAUGCGGUUAGUGCAAAGGCAUAAGCCAGCUUGACUGCGAGAGUGACGGCUCGAGCAGGUACGAAAGUAGGUCUUAGUGAUCCGGUGGUUCUGAAUGGAAGGGCCAUCGCUCAACGGAUAAAAGGUACUCCGGGGAUAACAGGCUGAUACCGCCCAAGAGUUCAUAUCGACGGCGGUGUUUGGCACCUCGAUGUCGGCUCAUCACAUCCUGGGGCUGAAGUAGGUCCCAAGGGUAUGGCUGUUCGCCAUUUAAAGUGGUACGCGAGCUGGGUUUAGAACGUCGUGAGACAGUUCGGUCCCUAUCUGCCGUGGGCGCUGGAAGAUUGAGAGGGGUUGCUCCUAGUACGAGAGGACCGGAGUGAACGCACCACUGGUGUACGGGUUGUGAUGCCAAUUGCAUUGCCCGGUAGCUAAGUGCGGAAGAGAUAACCGCUGAAAGCAUCUAAGCGGGAAACUUGCCUCGAGAUGAGUCUUCCCUGACCCUUUAAGGGUCCUGAAGGAACGUUUAAGACUAAGACGUUGAUAGGCUGGGUGUGUAAGCGCAGCGAUGCGUUGAGCUGACCAGUACUAAUGAACCGUGAGGCUUAACCUG
rnacentral:rRNA from 1 species